rnacentral:rRNA from 1 species
UACGAGGGGGGCGAGCGUUGUUCGGAAUUAUUGGGCGUAAAGAGCUCGUAGGCGGUUUGUCGCGUCUGCUGUGAAAACGCGGGGCUCAACUCCGCGCCUGCAGUGGGUACGGGCAGACUAGAGUGCGGUAGGGGAGACUGGAAUUCCUGGUGUAGCGGUGGAAUGCGCAGAUAUCAGGAGGAACACCGGUGGCGAAGGCGGGUCUCUGGGCUGUAACUGACGCUGGAGGAGCGAAAGCCGUGGGUAGCGAACAGG